rnacentral:rRNA from 1 species
UACGUAGGGGGCAAGCGUUGUCCGGAUUCAUUGGGCGUAAAGAGCUCGUAGGCGGUUCAGUAAGUCGGGUGUGAAAGCUCCGAGCUCAACUCGGAGAGGCCACCCGAUACUGCUGUGACUUGAGUCCAGUAGAGGAGCGUGGAAUUCCUGGUGUAGCGGUGAAAUGCGCAGAUAUCAGGAGGAACACCAGUGGCGAAGGCGGCUUCCUGGCCUGUUCUUGACGCUGAGGCGCGAAAGCUAGGGGAGCAAACGGG